rnacentral:rRNA from 1 species
CAGUAGCCGCGGUAAUACGUAGGGUGCAAGCGUUAAUCGGAAUUACUGGGCGUAAAGCGUGCGCAGGCGGUUUGUUAAGACAGACGUGAAAUCCCCGGGCUCAACCUGGGAACUGCAUUUGUGACUGGCAAGCUAGAGUAUGGCAGAGGGGGGUGGAAUUCCGCGUGUAGCAGUGAAAUGCGUAGAUAUGCGGAGGAACACCGAUGGCGAAGGCAGCCCCCUGGGCCAAUACUGACGCUCAUGCACGAAAGCGUGGGGAGCAAACAGGAUUAGAUACCCGUGUAGUCCCUGUCUCUUAUAC